rnacentral:ncRNA from 1 species
AGGCUGAGACGUGAUGCAUAGCCGAUUGAGGCGAAGUAGAGUGAUCCCAUGCUGCCGAGAAAAGCCUCUAGUGAGUGUUCAUGCGGCCCGUACCCCAAACCGACACAGGUGGUCAGGUAGAGAAUACCGAGGCGAUCGGGCGAACUGUGGUUAAGGAACUCGGCAAAAUGCCCCCGUAACUUCGGGAGAAGGGGGGCCGAGGGAUUUGAAGCCCCUUGCGGGCUAGGAUUUUUCGGCCGCAGAGACCAGCGAGAAGCGACUGUUUACUAAAAACACAGGUCCGUGCGAAGUCGCAAGACGAUGUAUACGGACUGACGCCUGCCCGGUGCUGGAACGUUAAGGGGACCGGUUAGCUCUUCGGGGCGAAGCUGAGAACUUAAGCGCCAGUAAACGGCGGUGGUAACUAUAACCAUCCUAAGGUAGCGAAAUUCCUUGUCGGGUAAGUUCCGACCUGCACGAAUGGCGUAACGACUUCUCGACUGUCUCAACCACAGGCCCGGCGAAAUUGCAUUACGAGUAAAGAUGCUCGUUACGCGCGGCAGGACGGAAAGACCCCGGGACCUUUACUAUAGCUUGGUAUUGGUGUUCGGUUCGGCUUGUGUAGGAUAGGUGGGAGACUGUGAAGCGCUGACGCCAGUCAGUGUGGAGUCGUCGUUGAAAUACCACUCUGGUCGUACUGGAUGUCUAACCUCGGUCCGUGAUCCGGAUCAGGGACAGUGCCUGGUGGGUAGUUUAACUGGGGCGGUUGCCUCCCAAAGGGUAACGGAGGCGCUCAAAGGUUCCCUCAGCCUGGUUGGCAAUCAGGUGUCGAGUGCAAGUGCACAAGGGAGCUUGACUGUGAGACCGACAGGUCGAGCAGGGACGAAAGUCGGAACUAGUGAUCCGGCCAUGGCUUGUGGAAGCGUGGUCGCUCAACGGAUAAAAGGUACCCCGGGGAUAACAGGCUGAUCUUGCCCAAGAGUCCAUAUCGACGGCAUGGUUUGGCACCUCGAUGUCGGCUCGUCGCAUCCUGGGGCUGGAGUAGGUCCCAAGGGUUGGGCUGUUCGCCCAUUAAAGCGGUACGCGAGCUGGGUUUAGAACGUCGUGAGACAGUUCGGUCCCUAUCCGCCGCGCGCGUAGGAUACUUGCGGAAGGCUGUCCCUAGUACGAGAGGACCGGGACGGACGGACCUCUGGUGUGCCAGUUGUCCUGCCAAGGGCAUUGCUGGUUGGCUACGUUCGGAAGGGAUAACCGCUGAAAGCAUCUAAGCGGGAAGCCUGUUCCUAGAUGAGGUAUCCCACCCUUUGUGGGUUAAGGCCCCCAAGAGACUAUUGGGUUGAUAGGCCGGAGAUGGAAGGUCGGUAACGGCUGGAGUUGACCGGUACUAAUAGGCCGAGGACUU